rnacentral:rRNA from 1 species
UGUCUUUUUGAAAAUAAUAUAAAGUCUAAUCUGCCCACUGAUUAAAUAAUUAAAGGGCUGCAGUAUAUUGACUGUACAAAGGUAGCAUAAUCAUUAGUCAUUUAAUUGAUGACUUGUAUGAAGGAUUUGAUGAGAUAUAAACUGUCUCUUAUUUAAUUAUAAAAUUUAAUUUUUUUAUUAAAAAGUUAAAAUAUCUUAAAAAGACGAGAAGACCCUAUAGAGUUUAAUAAAUUAUUAGAUUGAGAUUAUAUGUAAAACAAAUUUAAAAUAAAAUUAUUUAUUUUGUUGGGGUGACAAAAAAAUACAUUAAACUUUUUUUUAUUUUAAAACAUUUAUAAGUGAUUAAAUGAUCCAAUAAUAUUGAUUAUGAGAAAAAAUUACCUUAGGGAUAACAGCGUAAUUUUUUUUUUUAGUUCAAAUAAGAAAAAGAGUUUGCGACCUCGAUGUUGGAUUAAGAUAAAAUUUAAAUGUAGAAG